GCCAAAAGGCAUCCACCAAAGGAAACGUUACCAAACUGAAAGCAAAAAGGAAGAAAAGGGCAGUUAUUAUUUUUCGUGCAGCCAUCAUAUUUUGUUUUGUCUUGUCUUGUCUUGUCU
rnacentral:ribozyme from 14 species